UGCGCACACGUCUGUGGAAGCCUUGCACGACGGCGCGGCCUGUAGCGGCGGCGGCAAGCUUGGUCCGAUUUGAGUUCGAUUUUGAGUCAACGCCGAUAUCUCGAGUUCUAGGCCACCAAUCUUCAAGAUUCUUGGACUGGUGAACUCAGAUUAAGGAUCUGAACAAAUUUCAUGAAGGGAUCGAAGCGAGUUGUUGAAGUUUUUACGUUGAACGGAGCUCUCACCGGAUUCUGGAAAAUUUCCGGCAAAACCGUGUGUUCUAGGUGAUUGACGGUCUCCCUUGGGUGAGCGAUUUCGGUGUGUAUUGUGUUGAAUUGAAGACGCAGCGGGAAUAUCGAGCGGGUAAUCCUACAGGUCAGGAGAAUCAGGACGGUGAUCGUGCGGGUUAGAGAAUUUGUUUUAGUUUACAGCAAUUGUAAUUGUGAGGUGAGUUAUGCUCAUUUGAGCCUUACAAUAUAAUUUGGUGAGAGUGUGCUGUAAUAAACAAAUUUGAGAUUUGGUUUAUGUAAUAUCGAGCGAUGUGAGGUGUGGUUGUUUUGAGAAAAAAAUUCAGGUUGUAUUUAUGUGAGUUGUAUUAAUUCAUGUUUCGGAUUUGAAUUUGUUAUUCAAAAUUCGGGGCGUG